GGCUCAACACUAUCCCGACCGUAACUGUUCUCAAAAGACAAAUAAACCCACAACAAUAUGAAUGCUUUUAUGUAAGAAAUAAAAAUACCGUAAAUGAAAUAUUAAUAAUUAAUACUCAAGUUUACUAGCAGCAAGAUAACUUCAAAAAAUGUAGGGUGGCUACUCAGUGUUUCAGCCCGUUAAUAUCUCAGAUAAAUUAAAGAUCUAUUAUUAGCAGCAUCUUGUAAUUUUACGAGCAGCAUUGAACUUCUGUUAUUAUCUUCUUGAAUUUGCAUGGCAAUCAUGGAUAGCUCAAAACCGAAAAAAGUGAACUAUCAGAGGAUAUUGACCGCUGAAAGAGUAUGGAGGACAGAACACCAUGACCAUAUGCUUCAAUGCUUUGUUCAUGGGCGUCAAGAAAGCUAUAAUGAAUAAUGAGGAACGAUCUUGUACGUGGAAAGGAAGUAUUGAAGCAUAUGCUUGCGGAGCCAUUUUAAUAAACAACGACUUUGUAUAUCAAACAAGAAUGAUAACAAUAGGAUUGCUGAUCACAAGUCCUGUUCCAUGAAAAGCUUAAUUUUCUAACUCAGAGAUCAUCACAUCUGUUUAGGAAUCCCUCUUAUCUUCCAUUUCAUGAACAUGUGUAUAUAAGUUUCCAUCUUGUUCAUUCUUUUCCUCUUUAAUGGAAAUUAGGUCACUUUGUGAAGAGCAAAUAUCCUAUCUAGAGAUUUAUUUUUGAUAGAGGCAUCCAUGUUAGACGGAUGAAAUCAAAAUCCCAGUAAUGUAAGAUAAAUAGAGACAAACUCUGAACUCGAUUUAUAUGUUUAGUUGAAUAGUAGAAAAUUCAUUUUAACUUGGAGAUCCUAGGUCUGGUACCCUCUGGGGUAAAGGAGUUGCGAGGACUCCCUCAUUGUAUAGCUAGUUCAAUGAAUGGUUAAUGCACUGCAUAAAUUGAAAGUUUCACUUCCUCCAUAAGUCCACAAAACAUUACUUAAAAGCUUCACUUACAUUAUUUGUCUUCUGCUGUUCUUG
rnacentral:misc_RNA from 1 species